UUUUCUGCUUAUGCUGGCUUGGAACCGCGAUCCUCAGAUCUCAGCCUCCUGAGUAGCUCAGACUACCUGUGUGAGCCACCAGCGCCUAGCUGGAUUCU